CCCCGUGGCUCAGUUUGUAGAGCAUGGUGUGUGCAACGCCAGGGUUGUGGGUUCGAUUCCCACGGGGG
rfam:Salmo salar isolate Sally breed double haploid chromosome ssa01, whole genome shotgun sequence.